rnacentral:rRNA from 1 species
GUAGGUGGCAAGCGUUGUCCGGAAUUAUUGGGCGUAAAGCGCGCGCAGGCGGUUCUUUAAGUCUGAUGUGAAAGCCCACGGCUCAACCGUGGAGGGUCACUGGAAACUGGAGAACUUGAGUACAGAAGAGGAAAGCGGAAUUCCACGUGCAGCGGUGAAAUGCGUAGAGAUGUGGAGGAACACCAGUGGCGAAGGCGGCUUUCUGGUCUGUAACUGACGCUGAGGCGCGAAAGCGUGGGGGAGCAAACAGGAUUAGAUACCCUGGUAGUCCACGCCGUAAACGAUGAGUGCUAAGUGUUAGGGGGUUUCCGCCCCUUAGUGCUGCAGCUAACGCAUUAAGCACUCCGCCUGGGAGUACGGCCGCAAGGCUG